rnacentral:rRNA from 1 species
UACUUGUACCGACUGGAUGAGCAGCGAACGGGUGAGUAACGCGUGGGGAAUCUGCCUUUGAGCGGGGGACAACAUUUGGAAACGAAUGCUAAUACCGCAUAAAAACUUUAAACACAAGUUUUAAGUUUGAAAGAUGCAAUUGCAUCACUCAAAGAUGAUCCCGCGUUGUAUUAGCUAGUUGGUGAGGUAAAGGCUCACCAAGGCGAUGAUACAUAGCCGACCUGAGAGGGUGAUCGGCCACAUUGGGACUGAGACACGGCCCAAACUCCUACGGGAGGCAGCAGUAGGGAAUCUUCGGCAAUGGACGAAAGUCUGACCGAGCAACGCCGCGUGAGUGAAGAAGGUUUUCGGAUCGUAAAACUCUGUUGGUAGAGAAGAACGUUGGUGAGAGUGGAAAGCUCAUCAAGUGACGGUAACUACCCAGAAAGGGACGGCUAACUACGUGCCAGCAGCCGCGGUAAUACGUAGGUCCCGAGCGUUGUCCGGAUUUAUUGGGCGUAAAGCGAGCGCAGGUGGUUUAUUAAGUCUGGUGUAAAAGGCAGUGGCUCAACCAUUGUAUGCAUUGGAAACUGGUAGACUUGAGUGCAGGAGAGGAGAGUGGAAUUCCAUGUGUAGCGGUGAAAUGCGUAGAUAUAUGGAGGAACACCGGUGGCGAAAGCGGCUCUCUGGCCUGUAACUGACACUGAGGCUCGAAAGCGUGGGGAGCAAACAGGAUUAGAUACCCUGGUAGUCCACGCCGUAAACGAUGAGUGCUAGAUGUAGGGAGCUAUAAGUUCUCUGUAUCGCAGCUAACGCAAUAAGCACUCCGCCUGGGGAGUACGACCGCAAGGUUGAAACUCAAAGGAAUUGACGGGGCCCGCACAAGCGUGGAGCAUGUGGUUUAAUUCGAAGCAACGCGAAGAACCUUACCAGGUCUGACAUACUCGUGCUAUUCCUAGAGAUAGGAAGUUCCUUCGGGACACCGGGAUACAGGUGGUGCAUGGUUGUCGUCAGCUCGUGUCGUGAGAUGUUGGGUUAAGUCCCGCAACGAGCGCAACCCCUAUUGUUAGUUGCCAUCAUUAAGUUGGGCACUCUAACGAGACUGCCGGUGAUAAACCGGAGGAAGGUGGGGAUGACGUCAAAUCAUCAUGCCCCUUAUGACCUGGGCUACACACGUGCUACAAUGGAUGGUACAACGAGUCGCGAGACAGUGAUGUUUAGCUAAUCUCUUAAAACCAUUCUCAGUUCGGAUUGUAGGCUGCAACUCGCCUACAUGAAGUCGGAAUCGCUAGUAAUCGCGGAUCAGCACGCCGCGGUGAAUACGUUCCCGGGCCUUGUACACACCGCCCGUCACACCACGGGAGUUGGGAGUACCCGAAGUAGGUUGCCUAA